AGAGUUUGAUCAUGGCUCAGAUUGAACGCUGGCGGCAGGCCUAACACAUGCAAGUCGAACGGUAACAGGAAGCAGCUUGCUGCUUUGCUGACGAGUGGCGGACGGGUGAGUAAUGUCUGGGAAACUGCCUGAUGGAGGGGGAUAACUACUGGAAACGGUGGCUAAUACCGCAUAACGUCGCAAGACCAAAGAGGGGGACCUUCGGGCCUCUUGCCAUCAGAUGUGCCCAGAUGGGAUUAGCUUGUUGGUGAGGUAACGGCUCACCAAGGCGACGAUCCCUAGCUGGUCUGAGAGGAUGACCAGCCACACUGGAACUGAGACACGGUCCAGACUCCUACGGGAGGCAGCAGUGGGGAAUAUUGCACAAUGGGCGCAAGCCUGAUGCAGCCAUGCCGCGUGUAUGAAGAAGGCCUUCGGGUUGUAAAGUACUUUCAGCGGGGAGGAAGGUGUUGUGGUUAAUAACCACAGCAAUUGACGUUACCCGCAGAAGAAGCACCGGCUAACUCCGUGCCAGCAGCCGCGGUAAUACGGAGGGUGCAAGCGUUAAUCGGAAUUACUGGGCGUAAAGCGCACGCAGGCGGUCUGUCAAGUCGGAUGUGAAAUCCCCGGGCUCAACCUGGGAACUGCAUUCGAAACUGGCAGGCUUGAGUCUUGUAGAGGGGGGUAGAAUUCCAGGUGUAGCGGUGAAAUGCGUAGAGAUCUGGAGGAAUACCGGUGGCGAAGGCGGCCCCCUGGACAAAGACUGACGCUCAGGUGCGAAAGCGUGGGGAGCAAACAGGAUUAGAUACCCUGGUAGUCCACGCCGUAAACGAUGUCUACUUGGAGGUUGUGCCCUUGAGGCGUGGCUUCCGGAGCUAACGCGUUAAGUAGACCGCCUGGGGAGUACGGCCGCAAGGUUAAAACUCAAAUGAAUUGACGGGGGCCCGCACAAGCGGUGGAGCAUGUGGUUUAAUUCGAUGCAACGCGAAGAACCUUACCUGGUCUUGACAUCCACGGAAGUUUUCAGAGAUGGAUUGUGCCUUCGGGAACCGUGAGACAGGUGCUGCAUGGCUGUCGUCAGCUCGUGUUGUGAAAUGUUGGGUUAAGUCCCGCAACGAGCGCAACCCUUAUCCUUUGUUGCCAGCGAUUAGGUCGGGAACUCAAAGGAGACUGCCAGUGAUAAACUGGAGGAAGGUGGGGAUGACGUCAAGUCAUCAUGGCCCUUACGACCAGGGCUACACACGUGCUACAAUGGCGCAUACAAAGAGAAGCGACCUCGCGAGAGCAAGCGGACCUCAUAAAGUGCGUCGUAGUCCGGAUUGGAGUCUGCAACUCGACUCCAUGAAGUCGGAAUCGCUAGUAAUCGUGGAUCAGAAUGCCACGGUGAAUACGUUCCCGGGCCUUGUACACACCGCCCGUCACACCAUGGGAGUGGGUUGCAAAAGAAGUAGGUAGCUUAACCUUCGGGAGGGCGCUUACCACUUUGUGAUUCAUGACUGGGGUGAAGUCGUAACAAGGUAACCGUAGGGGAACCUGCGGUUG
rnacentral:rRNA from 1 species